UACGUAGGGAGCGAGCGUUAUCCGGAAUUAUUGGGUGUAAAGGGUGCGUAGACGGGAAUACAAGUUAGUUGUGAAAUCCCUCGGCUUAACUGAGGAACUGCAACUAAAACUAUAUUUCUUGAGUGCAGGAGAGGUAAGUGGAAUUCCUAGUGUAGCGGUGAAAUGCGUAGAUAUUAGGAGGAACACCAGUGGCGAAGGCGACUUACUGGACUGUAACUGACGUUGAGGCACGAAGGUGUGGGGAGCAAACAGG
rnacentral:rRNA from 1 species